UACGGAGGGGGCUAGCGUUGUUCGGAAUUACUGGGCGUAAAGCGCACGUAGGCGGCUUUGUAAGUUAGAGGUGAAAGCCCGGGGCUCAACUCCGGAAUUGCCUUUAAGACUGCAUCGCUCGAAUUGUGGAGAGGUAAGUGGAAUUCCGAGUGUAGAGGUGAAAUUCGUAGAUAUUCGGAAGAACACCAGUGGCGAAGGCGACUUACUGGACAGAUAUUGACGCUGAGGUGCGAAAGCGUGGGGAGCAAACAGG
rnacentral:rRNA from 1 species